UGUCGUAAGGGAAAAUAAUGAUACUACCUUACUAUGAGUGUCGUCCAAAACGGUGCCAGAAGACUCGGUAAGGCCAGAGACGCAAACGUUAAUCAUCUUAAUCAGGCGUAAAGGGUAAGUAGGCCGCUUUAAAACAAAUUUAAAAAAAUAGCCCAACAAAUGUAAAANAUAUUCAUUGAAGCUAGAAUCAAGAAGGGGUUGAGCGGGGUAAUACCUAGAGGAGUGUNAAAAUCUGUAGAUCCUAGGUGGAAUACUCACGGCGAAAGCUUUUCAUCCAAGUAAUGAUUGACGCUGAGGAACGAAGGGGAGGGUAGGAGAACGGGAUUAGAUACCCCAUUACUCCUCUC
rnacentral:rRNA from 1 species